GGCAAGGUGGCCGAGUGGUUAUGGCGCUGGUUUUAGGUCUCUAUAGAGUAAGACACCAGUGGGAAACUUCGCGGGUUCGAAUCCCGUCCUUGUCA